rnacentral:lncRNA from 1 species
CACCGACCCCCUUCCCCGUAUCAAACAAAGCAUUCAUCCCUCACCCCUAAAAAAAUACACACACUAAAUUGGCAAAAUAUUGGCACCAUUGAAAGGGUUAAAAUUGAAGAAAAGUUAUUCCGAUAAAAUUCAUAUUUCGACAAAAUGAUUGAAGGUGGGGGUGAAAGAUUUGGUAAUUGAAAGAGAAGAAAUUGAGGUUUGGGCGAGGGUGGUGAUGGUUAUUGGUCUGGUGAUUGAAUUAACCAAUUGGGAUCCUUCAAGAUUGCAAACAACAGGAAGAUGCGGAUGGAAAUUGCUUAAAGAUUAAGCACGACCUGAACAGGGAGAGCGGAUUGAAGUGAAAUUUCUUUUCGAGGAGCGGAGCAAAUAUUUCUGUGAGAAAUUUUUUGAUACAAAUGAUUGAGGCUUUCUUUGGUGUUGGUGAAAUUGGGAACGGGGUGGGGGGGUUAGAAGAAGAAGGAG